CUGGCCUCAAACAAACAAAAAGGACGGUUUUUUCCUUUUUUGCACUUAAGAUUACAAACCUCUUUUCUUGGGUUCCUCCUCCCGGCCGGGACGAGGACCCACAUCAGAGACAUAUUUUUAUAUUUUCUUUUUAAUCGUUUCUGGAUAAAAAAAUUUUUUUUAAAAAAAACUAACUAUCUGGAAAUCUCCCUCUCGCUCUUCUCUGCACUGAGACGUUUUUUUCGGAGUUCCCUUCUGUUAUUAGGUGACCCACCUGGCUGCGGGACACCAAAGGCACCUGAAACCACAUCCUUCUGGACUACUGCCUUAAAAACGCCACCCCAGCUCCACCUAGGGGGGACCCAGGAACAAGCAGUCAGCAGAGUACUACGGGACCUAGGAGACCUCCACCUACACCACCAGAGAGACCCACGUGGCAACAGGACACCAAGGCACCCAAACCUCACCCUACUGGACCACAGCCCAAACAACAGCCCAGCUCCAGCUAGGCGAGGCCUAGGCACAAGCUAUCAAGCUACCACGCCAUCUACGGGUCCAGGGAGAUCUCCACCUACUAAACAUCAGGACCAGGUUGGAGGGCUCCCUCUCCACCAUCCCGGAACUAUCGGAUGAAGACGAAUUCCCACCACUACCAGUCAGCAGUGUUGCUGGUCCCCGGAAUGGCGCAAAGGAACAGCGAGGAGCCCCGGUAACCACAACGGGAGGGUCAUCAAACAUGAUGAGCGGGCAAUUAAAGGCUAACAAUGCCAUUGAAACCGUAUCUGAGACCUCCCUACCACCACUCCUCCUCGGAAGUCCACCUCCCACCGGUGCCAUUCGGGGACCCAGCACACCUUCACUCCCCGACGAUAGUCCCGCAGGACCCUCCUCCACCUCCUCCCCAUUCAGCUUACCACUAUACAUUGCCA